rnacentral:rRNA from 1 species
UACGUAGGGUGCAAGCGUUAUCCGGAAUUAUUGGGCGUAAAGAGCUCGUAGGCGGUUUGUCACGUCUGCUGUGAAAACUGGAGGCUCAACCUCCAGCCUGCAGUGGGUACGGGCAGACUAGAGUGCGGUAGGGGAGAUUGGAAUUCUUGGUGUAGCGGUGAAAUGCGUAGAUAUCAAGAGGAACACCUGAGGUGAAGACGGGUUGCUGGGCUGACACUGACGCUGAGGCGCGAAAGCCAGGGGAGCAAACGGG